GACGAACGCUGGCGGCGUGCCUAAUACAUGCAAGUUGAGCGCUGAAGGUUGGUACUUGUACCAACUGGAUGAGCAGCGAACGGGUGAGUAACGCGUGGGGAAUCUGCCUUUGAGCGGGCGACAACAUUUGGAAACGAAUGCUAAUACCGCAUAAAAACUUUAAACACAAGUUUUAAGUUUGAAAGAUGCAAUUGCAUCACUCAAAGAUGAUCCCGCGUUGUAUUAGCUAGUUGGUGAGGUAAAGGCUCACCAAGGCGAUGAUACAUAGCCGACCUGAGAGGGUGAUCGGCCACAUUGGGACUGAGACACGGCCCAAACUCCUACGGGAGGCAGCAGUAGGGAAUCUUCGGCAAUGGACGAAAGUCUGACCGAGCAACGCCGCGUGAGUGAAGAAGGUUUUCGGAUCGUAAAACUCUGUUGGUAGAGAAGAACGUUGGUGAGAGUGGAAAGCUCAUCAAGUGACGGUAACUACCCAGAAAGGGACGGCUAACUACGUG
rnacentral:rRNA from 1 species